rnacentral:sRNA from 12 species
GACCUAAAACCAUUUUGCCAGCGUCGGCAAAAUGGUCAUGGUCAAAAUCGCACCAAAGUAAAGAUCCCAUCAUCAGGAUCCGCUUUGGUGCGUCAUAUUGGGAAACCAAUAUGUGAGUUUGAAAAGACUC